CCCCAGCUCACUGCCUGGUCUGACGUCACAGGUCCCUGGGCAGGGCCCCAGCUCACUGCCUGGUCUGACGUCACAGGUGCCUGGGCGGGGCCCCAGCUCACUGCCUGGUCUGACGUCACAGGUCCCUGGGCAGGGCCCCAGCUCACUGCCUGGUCUGACGUCACAGGUGCCUGGGCAGGGCCCAGCUCACUGCCUGGUCUGGUGUCACAGGUGCCUGGGCGGGGGCCCAGCUCACUGCCUAGUCUGGCGUCACAGGUCCCUGGGCAGGGCCCCAGCUCACUGCCUGGUCUGACCUCACAGGUCCCUGGGCGGGGCCCCAGCUCACUGCCUGGUCUGGCGUCACAGGUCCCUGGGCAGGGCCCAGCUCACUGCCUGGUCUGACCUCACAGGUCCCUGGGCAGGGCCCAGCUCACUGCCUGGUCUGACCUCACAGGUCCCUGGGCAGGGCCCAGCUCACUGCCUGGUCUGACGUCACAGGUCCCUGGGCAGGGCCCAGCUCACUGCCUGGUCUGACGUCACAGGUGCCUGGGCAGGGCCCAGCUCACUGCCUGGUCUGGUGUCACAGGUCCCUGGGCCAGACCCCAGCUCACUGCCUGGUCUGACAUCACAGGUCCCUGGGCGGGGCCCCAGCUCACUGCCUGGUCUGGUGUCACAGGUCCCUGGGCAGGGCCCAGCUCACUGCCUGGUCUGAC